rnacentral:lncRNA from 1 species
CACAGUUCUUCUUCCGCCCAUUGCUGAAACCACCCGGUCAAGCUUCUCCCCUCUCUUCUUUCCAGGUGGCGUAUACAGAGUGCCAGAACCGAGAUGUGAAAACAGACACAGGUGGGUGUGGCGGUUGAGGCGAGCACGGGCGAAAGACCGGGGGCUUCUCCUCCCCUCCCCACCGAAGCAGCAAAAGAAAAGGCACUUACUUGCUACCUAGCCGGCUGACCAUCCCCACCUAGUGCACUCGCAGAAUCUGGCCCCAGGGGAGGGCGCGGGCCUCUCUUUUCCCGGCGCUCUCUCAGGGCUGCUUCUUUUUCUUUGGGCUCCUGUUGCUCAGGGGACGCCUGCCGCUAGCAGCCACUGGCACCCAGGCUAGCCCAGCCCUAGCCGAGCCGGCAGAAUUGGAAAGCCUACAGCCGCAGCUGGAGCGCUGGCGACCGCCUGCCUGCACGCAGACUGCGCCCCUCCAGCCAGGGCGCGCCCAGGGAGGUAGCAGCCCCGCCUCCCCGAGGGCAGCUGCGCCGCUUUGCCUCCUCCACUCCUCCCCGCGCGCCCGGGUCCCCACCCCUUGCUCCCUCCCUCCCUCCACUCCAGCAGGCGGCGCAGGGCGGAGACCCACCUAGGGGCGCGGUGGUGGCGACGCUGCAGCCUCUGCACCAUGCGCUAAUAGAAGGCGGAGGAGGGGGUUGCACGACCUGCCAUCCACGGCCACUCAUUGGGUGGGGCGCUCGCGUGUGUGUGUGUGUGUGUGUGUGUGUGUGUGUGUGUGUGUCCAGCAGCCAGAAGAGCCCUUCCCUUAUCUCACCCCCGCCCCCCUCAUCCCUUUCCUCCCUUCCUGCUCAGCAGAAUCGGCUAACGCUUCCGAGAAGCCACUUUGUGUGGCUUGAUGGAGAAAAACUCCGGAACAGAGGAGAGUCUUCCAGGCAAGCAAAUAAUACAUUUUCUUUCGAAGAUGCAGUGAAGAAUCAGAGGAUGUCCUAGGUUGGGAAGGAAACAUGGGGAAAAGGCUGCUUUUCCAGACCUGGGACCCGAUCAUCUGAAUAUGCCAUCAGUCAUAUGGGUUCUGAAUUUCAGAACUGGUAGGAGCUACU